GACCUCGGAUCAGGUAGGGAUACCCGCUGAACUUAAGCAUAUCAAUAAGCGGAGGA
rnacentral:rRNA from 43 species